rnacentral:rRNA from 1 species
CCCUUAGAUGUCCUGGGCCGCACGCGCGCUACACUGACUGGUGCAACAAGUGUCUGACCUUGGCUCGAGAGGCCUGGGCAACCUUUGAACGCCAGUCGUGCUGGGGAUAGAUUCUUGCAAUUAUUAAUCUUCAACGAGGAAUUCCUAGUAAACGCAAGUCAUCAGCUUGCAUUGAUUACGUCCCUGCCCUUUGUACACACCGCCCGUCGCACCUACCGAUUGAAUGGUCCGGUGAAAUCUCGGGACGGCGGCUUGGUCGCUUGCGUCCGACUGCUGAAACUUGAUUAAACCAUAUCAUUUAGAGGAAGGUGAAGUCGUAACA